GGGCGUCUAGCUCAGUGGUAGAGCGCCCGCUUCGCAUGCGGGAGGUCGUGGGUUCAAUUCCCCCGUUGUCCA